UUCGUUGGCUGUUGAUUCAAGUCAAGUUUUUAAGCAUGUUUACAUGUAAAUAAGGGUAUGGCAGCAACUAAUAAUGAAUUGUAAAACUAUUUACAGAUAAGUGCUAUCGAUUUAACGUAGUAUUAGAACUUUUAUGAAGUUAUUUAUGAAGCAAUCAGCCUUCAAUGUUCGUACAUAGAACAUUCGUACCCAGUGCCAGGUAAGAUAAAAAAGAAAUUACAACAAUGAACAAUUUCAACGAAUGUCUGGAUACUACAAUAUGAUUUCGAACCCAUGGUAACACGUGAAUUGAAGUCAGACACCUUACCACCAUGCAACAGUAUCAUCGUGCAUUGGGAAGUAACAGUAAAGCAGAAUACCUACAGUCCAUGAAGUUGAGAAAUGAAGAAAUGCAGCUCUGAAUUGUUUAAUACGGUGUGUGGGGAAAACAUACUGGAUAGUGGAUAUCAAGCAUAGAAAUCAUGUGACAAUGUGUAGUAACAGUAACACAGAAUGGCUGGAGACCAUUAACUUGAGAACUGAAGAGAUGCAGGUCUUUGUUCUAUAUGGUGAUUGAUGGAACCAUGGUGCAGUUUUGAAUAUAUAAGGUGUGAAGUUACAGAAAAGCAGAAUAGCUACAGACCAUGAAAUUUAGAAAAUGAAAAGAUGCAUGUCUUUGUUCAGCAUGGUGUAUAUGGGAAACAUUGUAGGUCUCAGACCUCUGUUCAACAUGGUGUAUAUGGGAAACAUUGUGGGUCACAGACCUCUGUUCAGCAUGGUGUAUAUGGGAAACAUUGCGGGUCACAGACAUGAAAUGAUUUGUGUGAAGUAACAGUUAAGCAGAAUGGCUUCCGACAAUUAGUUCAGAAUUGAAGAAGAGAUGCAGAUCUUUGUUCUAUAUGGUGUAUGAGGGAACCAUGGUGGAAAUUUGGAUUUCAUGGCAGUCAUAGAAAUAUCUAAUAAGUCUGUAGGACAGUUAUAUGUGUACCAGUCUGUCAGACUAUUAUGUGUCUGUCCAGUUGAAAAAUUCGCAGUGGAUGCUUAGUUUCUCACAUAAUUUGGCAGAAUUUUCACACAAGACAGAUUGCAAAAGACUUUAGUGCCCCAAAACCUGAAAUGAGAGUGCUUGGACAAUGUGAAGUUUGUCGCAUAGACGGGGAUUGACCGCCUUUGUAUAUACAAGUCUACAACUUUUCAGAUUGACCGAAGACAAUUGUUUGGUGUUGUGGAUGGAUGUGGUUUGGCCGCAGGCUUUCCAAUCACACAGAAGAUACUGGUUCUAUCACAAGAAGGGUCACAUCAAUUGAUAUUAGUCACUGGAAAAAUUUGGAGAACCAACUGUAGAUUCUCAGGUUGAAAUUUAUUAAGAGAAAUAUAUGAGGUAGGGCUCUGCAGUUUUCCAUAAACACAACAAGAAGUUUACAUUUGUUGCACAGAGUUGAAGGAAUUGUUAUAGGAAAAGUCUACAGAAUGUAAGGAUAUGAUAGCCAAACACCUUCCCCAGGAUUCGAUGCAGCAACCUUCUGAUAGAAAGAUGUACCUGUUGUGCAAUGGUGAUAAGCUGGCUUGGUGACAGGAAAAAGAAAAGGAAAAUGGCCCCAGGAAAGACAAGCUACAGUAGAUACAAGAUGCUAAGGACAAGAAUGUCUGUCAUUCAUGGAAACAUCAGAGUUCAGCAGGUUCUUGAAACAGCAAUAAAAUGAGCAGGUUUCAAAAGUUGCCCUUUGGCAGUCAGAGGUUAAAAUGACUUGGAACAGUCAAACUAAACAAAACAUUGCAGUAAUACAACAUGAAGGAGAAAACUGCCCAGGUUUCAUAUACCGCCUCACCUUCUGGAAAACCAGGCCAGUUGAAACCAGAGACUACCGGUACAUUUUUUGGUGAUCAUUUGACGAAGCCAGUUGUAGUGCUUUUACAGUUAGGGAGAGUGAGUUUACAUUUUGCUGGAACCUUGUUACAGAUUUGCAGUAUCAACCAGCAUCCACAGCCAUUCUAGAUAUAGGAACAACACAAUCAGACAAGCUGGCAAGAUGUUCAAGAGUGGUGACAUGCUGCCCAAGAUUCUAGUCUGGAGAUACCAUCAGUCAUCUUAGAAUGUUUUUUAAGAUUUAAUAAAAAUGUGACAUUGACUUAAGACUACAUUUAUACUGUUUUCAGUCAAAGGCUUUUCUCUGUUUUUUUAUCUUUUUUUAUCAACAUUGAUAAUAAUAUCUGUCAUGUGUUUACGUAUCGGAUAUAAAUAUCCCUCCAGAGGGCACCUGCGCAUUGCCGAAGAGGCUUGCCGAAUUACCGCCCAUGCACAGGUGGCCGAGGGACAGAUAUUUCCAUCCGAUUCGUAAACACGUGACUGAUAUUUUUUCUUGCAUAUCGUAAUUAUUCAUGCUAGCAUUUUAAUCGGCAGAUUAUUUUUCUUGCAAAUUGUAUUUUACAAAUAAGAGCUAGAAAUACUUUCUUUAUAGCACUUUUUCUUACAGUAGAGAAUGAACACAAAGCACGAGAAAUUAACGUCCGUAAGCAGAAGUGACGUCAUGAUGUUUUGCGUUACACACAAUAACAAUGUUCAGGCCUCCUAGUGAAACCUUUAAAACCUUUAAAAACCUUUAAUUUCAGAGCAAACCUUUAAAACCUUUAAAUCUUCUGAAAAAACCUUUAAAACGGCCAAAUAGCCUGUAAUUCUCACUCGAAACCUAUAUUUUUGUUCAGACUGCUUGCCGUGCCAGUUUAAAGCAAGUAAUAGUUAUACUGCUGUAUUUCCCUCCCUUUUAAGUGUUGUUAUUAGGAUACUGCUUGUGUAUCUUUCAUCUUUGAGUUUUUCAGAAUGCUGUUGUGUUCACCAGACCACAUACAUGUAGAUGUUUGCAGUAGUGUUCACCAGACCAUAGGUGUUCCAUGUAUUCAGCAUAAGGUACCAUGGAGCUGAAUGCUUGAAAUGGUCUGGUGACAUGAUGUUUACACUAUGGUAACACUGGACAAGGUCUGGUGAAGAUACAGCAUUCUGAGCAAAGUUGAUGUAGACACUACAAAUUCAGGCUUUCAAGUGGCCCUAAAAUUCCUAAACAUUCUUAAUUUUUUUUAGGUCUCCCUAAAAUCCUAAAACAAUGCUCAAAAAGGGCCAAAUUCCUAAAAAAGCCCUUAUUUUUUUUUCAAUUGUCCCUAAAUUUUUGUAAUAUCUGUCUGAACUUAAAUUUGUCUUUGCACAAAGUCAUGCAUAUAAUGAUCCAAUUAAUUUAUUGAAGUUUAUUUUCUUCAAGCUUCAUUUUCAGAGGUUGCUUCUAUCAGUUUCCAUGAGUUCCUAGGCUACAUCUUCAUGAAACAUAGAUUUAUUUCAUUGAGUGAUCAGGCCUAGAUCCAUGGCUGGGCCCAGGAGGCCUGUGCCCCCAUUUGGCUCAUCAAAGUUUGUCUCAACUAUUUUGGCAAGGAAUAAAUAUUUUCUCAAAAUUAGGCCCAAAAACGCGCCAGAGGCCACCAUUCCAUUUCUCUAUUACAAAAUUUUCCAGGGGGAGGACCCUCUGAUCCCCCUUCCAAUGAGGGGAUUGCCUCUUCAGUACCUCAAAAUUUAUAUAAGUUCCCCAGAGGCCACCAUUGAUAUCUACAUUUCAAAACAUUUGCAGAGGAAGACUCCCUUGACCCUCCUAAAACUACAGGGAUACCCUCUACCACACAUCAAAAAUUAGACCAAAACAUGCACUACAAUCAAGCAUUUUAUACCUGUAUUUUAAAUUUUUUCAGAGGGUGGCAGCAUCCUUACCUCCCUAAAAUUUGGGGGCUACACCCUCCUAUGCCUCAAAAUUUAGAACAAAAAAUACACAAAUUGUCACAAGCACCCACUAUUUCAUACCUGUAUUUCAAAAUUUUCCAGGGGAGAGCCCCUAACCCCCUCCCCCCAAUUGAGAGAAGUACCC